rnacentral:rRNA from 1 species
UACGUAGGGUGCAGGCGUUAAUCGGAAUUACUGGGCGUAAAGCGUGCGCAGGCGGUGAGCUGUGUCCGAUGUGAAAGCCCCGGGCUUAACCUGGGAAUGGCAUUGGAAACUGGCUCGCUGGAGUGUGGCAGAGGGGGGUGGAAUUCCGCGUGUAGCAGUGAAAUGCGUAGAGAUGCGGAGGAACACCGAUGGCGAAGGCAGCCCCCUGGGCUAACACUGACGCUCAGGCACGAAAGCGUGGGGAGCAAACAGG